CACGUAGGGGGCAAGCGUUGUCCGGAUUUAUUGGGCGUAAAGGGCGCGUAGGCGGCUUGUUAAGUCAGCUGUGAAAGCCCGGGGCUCAACCCCGGAGGGUCAGUUGAUACUGGCAGGCUAGAGUACGGAAGAGGAGAGUGGAAUUCCUGGUGUAGCGGUGAAAUGCGCAGAUAUCAGGAAGAACACCCGUGGCGAAGGCGGCUCUCUGGGACGGUACUGACGCUGAGACGCGAAAGCGUGGGGAGCGAACAGG
rnacentral:rRNA from 1 species